UGGGGAAUUUUGGACAAUGGGCGAAAGCCUGAUCCAGCAAUGCCGCGUGUGUGAAGAAGGCCUUCGGGUUGUAAAGCACUUUUGUCCGGAAAGAAAUCCUCUGGUUAAUACCUCGGGGGGAUACGGUACCGGAAGAAUAAGCACCGGCUAACUACGUGCCAGCAGCCGCGGUAAUACGUAGGGUGCAAGCGUUAAUCGGAAUUACUGGGCGUAAAGCGUGCGCAGGCGGUUUGCUAAGACCGAUGUGAAAUCCCCCGGGGCUCAACCUGGGACUGCAUUGGUGACUGGCAGGCUAGAGNAUGGCAGAGGGGGGUAGAAUUCCACUGUACAGUGAAAGUGCGUAGAGAUGUGGAGGAAUACCGAUGGCGAAGGCAGCCCCCU
rnacentral:rRNA from 1 species